GAGGAGGCUACUUUAGAUAAUACCUAGAGAUUGUGGACGUUACUCGCAGAAUAAGCACCGGCUAACUCUGUGCCAGCAGCCGCGGUAAUACAGAGGGUGCAAGCGUUAAUCGGAUUUACUGGGCGUAAAGCGCGCGUAGGCGGCUAAUUAAGUCAAAUGUGAAAUCCCCGAGCUUAACUUGGGAAUUGCAUUCGAUACUGGUUAGCUAGAGUGUGGGAGAGGAUGGUAGAAUUCCAGGUGUAGCGGUGAAAUGCGUAGAGAUCUGGAGGAAUACCGAUGGCGAAGGCAGCCAUCUGGCCUAACACUGACGCUGAGGUGCGAAAGCAUGGGGAGCAAACAGGAUUAGAUACCCUNGUAGUCCAUGCCGUAAACGAUGUCUACUAGCCGUUGGGGCCUUUGAGGCUUUAGUGGCGCAGCUAACGCGAUAAGUAGACCGCCUGGGGAGUACGGUCGCAAGACUAAAACUCAAAUGAAUUGACGGGGGCCCGCACAAGCUGUGGAGCAUGUGGUUUAAUUCGAUGCAACGCGAAGAACCUUACCUGGCCUUGACAUAGUAAGAACUUUCCAGAGAUGGAUUGGUGCCUUCGGGAACUUACAUACA
rnacentral:rRNA from 1 species